AUUGAACGCUGGCGGCAGGCUUAACACAUGCAAGUCGAGCGGGGGAAGGUAGCUUGCUACCGGACCUAGCGGCGGACGGGUGAGUAAUGCUUAGGAAUCUGCCUAUUAGUGGGGGACAACAUCUCGAAAGGGAUGCUAAUACCGCAUACGUCCUACGGGAGAAAGCAGGGGAUCUUCGGACCUUGCGCUAAUAGAUGAGCCUAAGUCGGAUUAGCGGGUUGGUGGGGUAGAGGCCUACCAAGGCGACGAUCUGUAGCGGGUCUGAGAGGAUGAUCCGCCACACUGGGACUGAGACACGGCCCAGACUCCUACGGGAGGCAGCAGUGGGGAAUAUUGGACAAUGGGGGGAACCCUGAUCCAGCCAUGCCGCGUGUGUGAAGAAGGCCUUAUGGUUGUAAAGCACUUUAAGCGAGGAGGAGGCUACUUUAGUUAAUACCUAGAGAUAGUGGACGUUACUCGCAGAAUAAGCACCGGCUAACUCUGUGCCAGCCGCCGCCGUAA
rnacentral:rRNA from 1 species